rnacentral:rRNA from 1 species
GACGAACGCUGGCGGCGUGCUUAACACAUGCAAGUCGAACGGAAAGGCCCUGCUUUUGUGGGGUGCUCGAGUGGCGAACGGGUGAGUAACACGUGAGUAACCUGCCCUUGACUUUGGGAUAACUUCAGGAAACUGGGGCUAAUACCGGAUAGGAGCUCCUGCUGCAUGGUGGGGGUUGGAAAGUUUCGGCGGUUGGGGAUGGACUCGCGGCUUAUCAGCUUGUUUGUGGGGUAGUGGCUUACCAAGGCUUUGACGGGUAGCCGGCCUGAGAGGGUGACCGGCCACAUUGGGACUGAGAUACGGCCCAGACUGCUACGGGAGGCAGCAGUGGGGAAUAUUGCAGAAUGGGCGGAAGCCUGAUGAAGCAACGCCGCGUGCGGGAUGACGGCCUUCGGGUUGUAAACCGCUUUCGCCUGUGACGAAGCGUGAGUGACGGUAAUGGGUAAAGAAGCACCGGCUAACUACGUG